rnacentral:sRNA from 1 species
CGCGCCUGCGGUGGAUCAAGCCCGCUCAUUACGGGUCACGCCUCGGUGUGACCGGCCUUGCAGGCGGCUUUCUGCGGGUACAGGUCCGGUAACACAAGCAAUGCUUGUUUCAAAGCUGUU